rnacentral:rRNA from 1 species
GACAGAGGGGGCAAGCGUUGCUCGGAAUCACUGGGCGUAAAGGGCGCGUAGGCGGGAUGGCAAGUCGGUCGUGAAAUCCUUCGGCUCAACCGAAGAACGUCGGCCGAUACUGCCGUUCUUGAGGGAUGCAGAGGAGACUGGAAUUCCCGGUGUAGCGGUGAAAUGUGUAGAGAUCGGGAGGAACACCGAUGGCGAAGGCAGUGUUCUGGGCCAGUACUGACGCUGAGGAGCGAAAGCGUGGGGAGCAAACAGG